rnacentral:rRNA from 1 species
AACGAACGCUGGCGGCAUGCCUAACACAUGCAAGUCGAACGAGACCUUCGGGUCUAGUGGCGCACGGGUGCGUAACGCGUGGGAACCUGCCCUUAGGUUCGGAAUAACUCCCCGAAAGGGGUGCUAAUACCGGAUAAUGUCUUCGGACCAAAGAUUUAUCGCCUUUGGAUGGGCCCGCGUUGGCUUAGCUAGUUGGUAGGGUAAAAGCCUACCAAGGCGACGAUCCAUAGCUGGUCUGAGAGGAUGAUCCGCCACACUGGGACUGAGACACGGCCCAGACUCCUACGGGAAGCAGCAGUGGGGAAUAUUGGACAAUGGGCGAAAGCCUGAUCCAGCCAUGCCGCGUGAGUGAUGAAGGCCGUAGGGUUGUAAAGCUCUUUUACCCGGGAUGAUAAUGACAGUACCGGGAGAAUAAGCUCCGGCUAACUCCGUG